AGAUUCGAGCGGACCGACGGGAGCUUGCUCCCUAUAGUCAGCGGCGGACGGGUGAGUAACACGUGGGUAACCUGCCUGUAAGACUGGGAUAACUCCGGGAAACCGGGGCUAAUACCGGAUGCUAGAUUGAACCGCAUGGUUCAAUCAUAAAGGUGGCUUUUAGCUACCACUUACAGAUGGACCCGCGGCGCAUUAGCUAGUUGGUGAGGUAACGGCUCACCAAGGCGACGAUGCGUAGCCGACCUGAGAGGGUGAUCGGCCACACUGGGACUGAGACACGGCCCAGACUCCUACGGGAGGCAGCAGUAGGGAAUCUUCCGCAAUGGACGAAAGUCUGACGGAGCAACGCCGCGUGAGUGAUGAAGGUUUUCGGAUCGUAAAACUCUGUUGUUAGGGAAGAACAAGUACCGUUCGAAUAGGGCGGCACCUUGACGGUACCUAACCAGAAAGCCACGGCUAACUACGUGCCAGCAGCCGCGGUAAUACGUAGGUGGCAAGCGUUGUCCGGAAUUAUUGGGCGUAAAGCGCGCGCAGGCGGUUUCUUAAGUCUGAUGUGAAAGCCCCCGGCUCAACCGGGGAGGGUCAUUGGAAACUGGGGAACUUGAGUGCAGAAGAGGAGAGUGGAAUUCCACGUGUAGCGGUGAAAUGCGUAGAGAUGUGGAGGAACACCAGUGGCGAAGGCGACUCUCUGGUCUGUAACUGACGCUGAGGCGCGAAAGCGUGGGGAGCGAACAGGAUUAGAUACCCUGGUAGUCCACGCCGUAAACGAUGAGUGCUAAGUGUUAGAGGGUUUCCGCCCUUUAGUGCUGCAGCAAACGCAUUAAGCACUCCGCCUGGGGAGUACGGUCGCAAGACUGAAACUCAAAGGAAUUGACGGGGGCCCCGCACAAGCGGGGGAGCAUGUGUUUUAUUCGAAGCAACCCGAAAA
rnacentral:rRNA from 1 species